UGCUGAAGGGAUGGAUGGUGGUGCAGUAAAGGUGUUUGUGUCUUCUGGCCCAAUUGAGCUGAAGAGAGAUGGAUCCCUUCACUUUAUGCCUAGAAGUGCCCAAUUCAAUGUGUGGUCCCUUCUGGGAGCUGCAAUGGGUGUGUGUUCAGUGGUUAUCUUUGUAGCUGGAGUUGUAUCUUUCUGGAAACUGCCAAAAAGUGUGUAUUGAUAAAUAAAAAUCUUGCUUGUAAAAGCUUA